UACGUAGGGUGCAAGCGUUGUCCGGAAUUAUUGGGCGUAAAAGAGCUCGUAGGCGGUUUUGUCGCGUCUGCUGUGAAAACUCAGGGCUUAACCCUGAGCCUGCAGUGGGUACGGGCAGACUAGAGUGUGGUAGGGGAGAUCGGAAUUCCUGGUGUAGCGGUGGAAUGCGCAGAUAUCAGGAGGAACACCGGUGGCGAAGGCGGAUCUCUGGGGCCAUAACUGACGCUGAGGAGCGAAAAGCUGGGGAGCGAACAGGG
rnacentral:rRNA from 1 species